rnacentral:rRNA from 1 species
UAAUACGUAGGUGGCAAGCGUUGUCCGGAUUUACUGGGUGUAAAGGGCGUGCAGCCGGAGAGGCAAGUCAGAUGUGAAAUGCUUGGGCUUAACCCAGGAACUGCAUUUGAAACUGUCUCCCUUGAGUGUCGGAGAGGUAACCGGAAUUCCUAGUGUAGCGGUGAAAUGCGUAGAUAUUAGGAAGAACAUCAGUGGCGAAGGCGGGUUACUGGACGACAACUGACGGUGAGGCGCGAAAGCGUGGGGAGCAAACAGG